UACGAAGGGGGCUAGCGUUGUUCGGAAUUACUGGGCGUAAAGCGUGCGCAGGCGGCUUCUCAAGUCAGGGGUGAAAGCCCAGAGCUUAACUCUGGAAUUGCCUUUGAGACUGAGAGGCUUGAGUACGGGAGAGGUGAGUGGAAUUCCCAGUGUAGAGGUGAAAUUCGUAGAUAUUGGGAAGAACACCGGUGGCGAAGGCGGCGACCUGGUCCGAUACUGACGCUGAGGCGCGAAAGCGUGGGGAGCAAACAGG
rnacentral:rRNA from 1 species